AAUGAACUGGGAGACUCUGGAGUAAAACUUGUGUUAGCGGGUGUUAGGAACUCGGACUGUGAAAUACAGCGACUGUGGCUGGACAGUAUCAAUCUCACAGAUUCUGGACUCAAUGAUCUAGCCUCCGCUCUUAGUACAAAGCUCUCACUGCUGGAGCUGGAGCUGGGAUCAGACUCCCUCACAGACCGAUCUGUUGCCUCUCUUCGCCGCCUCAUACUUGCCCUCCCGAGUCUGGUACGGAUCAGGCUGGGGAGGAAUCGGUUCAGUGCAGAUGGACGGAACCAGCUGGAGAGUCUGCGUGGAAUCAGACCCGGGCUGAGUGUGGAGCUGUGAACAUCUCCAUGUGUGAACGUCACCUCCCAGGGAAUAGGAAUAAUGUUGACCAAUUUCCCGCCCACCCCUUUAAACGACCGCGCUCCGGGAUUAAACCCCAGUGGUUCCCGGCUCGGGCCGGGUGGGCUGUGACGUGAUAAGCAGCCGCAUUGACACGUGACCCGGACACGAGGUGCUGCUGCUGAUGCCGGAUAUCCGGUGCUGCCCCCAGUUUGACAGGUGAAUUGCAGCAAUCUAGGAUGUGACUUUAUCAUCUUCUUAUCGAGUCAACGUCACAAGAUUAUGAUGAUAUUGAUCAUCCAGGACUGAGCACACUUCUCGGCAUCUUCAUUAUC